GGCCUGCUGGCCCAAUGGCAAGGCGCUUGACUACGAUUCCUCUGAGUCUGACAUCAAGAGAUUGCAGGUUCGAACCUUGCGUAGGUCA